UGGGGAAUAUUGGACAAUGGGCGCAAGCCUGAUCCAGCCAUGCCGCGUGGAUGAUGAAGGCCCUAGGGUUGUAAAGUCCUUUCGACGGGGAAGAUAAUGACGGUACCCGUAGAAGAAGCCCCGGCUAACUUCGUGCCAGCAGCCGCGGUAAUACGAAGGGGGCUAGCGUUGCUCGGAAUCACUGGGCGUAAAGCGCACGUAGGCGGCAUCUUAAGUCGGGGGUGAAAUCCUGGAGCUCAACUCCAGAACUGCCUUCGAUACUGGGAUGCUUGAGUCCGGGAGAGGUGAGUGGAACUGCGAGUGUAGAGGUGAAAUUCGUAGAUAUUCGCAAGAACACCAGUGGCGAAGGCGGCUCACUGGCCCGGUACUGACGCUGAGGUGCGAAAGCGUGGGGAGCAAACAGG
rnacentral:rRNA from 1 species